rnacentral:rRNA from 1 species
CUGCUGCCUCCCGUAGGAGUCUGGUCCGUGUCUCAGUCCCAAUGUGGCCGUCCACCCUCUCAGGCCGGCUACUGAUCGCUGCCUUGGUGGGCCGUUACCCCGCCAACUAGCUAAUCAGACGCGGAUCCAUCGUAUACCACCGGAGUUUUUCACACUGCCCCAUGCGGAGCCGUGCGCUUAUGCGGUAUUAGCACCUAUUUCUAAGUGUUAUCCCCCGGUAUACGGCAGGUUAUCCACGUGUUACUCACCCGUCCG